rnacentral:misc_RNA from 1 species
GUACCCUCAAGCUUUGCUUGGUGUUGGGUGUUUGUCCUUUCCCUGCGUCAGGACUCGCCUUAAAUUCAUUGGCAGCCGAUGUAUUGGUUUGAAGCGCAGCACAAUUUGCGAUUCAGGCUGGUGAUCAUGGGCAUCCAGUAAGCACAUUUUAACAC